rnacentral:lncRNA from 1 species
GCACGGGAGAGAGGCGAGGAGGCGCUGUGGGCUGCUGGGCUCAGGCCUAGAGGCGCCCUUCAAAACGAACAGCCUGGGUGCUGUGGAGGGCACGUUGAUGGCAGCAAAAGGAAGACAGGCUACUGGACAGAAAGGGACGGGUCCCAGUGAAGCCCCACCUUCAAGCCAGGGAUGGCUUCAAUCCUGGAGGCCGCGCUGUCAGUUCCGGUCGGAGUCUGUGGCCUGGAGUGAGCACUAAUGGUUCUUUUUCCAGGCCCGCCCAUGGCCACCCAUGGACCAAUCAGCAUGCACUUCCUCCCUUCUGAACCCAUAAAAACCCCGCUCCCCGGACGCAGCCGGAGUCACGCGAAGUCGGAAGUACCAGCUGCGGGAAGGAGCUGCCCACUGUGCGUCUUCUCAACUUGUUGGGACAACCUUCCUGCGGAAAGGAGAGACAACCUUCCUGCAGAAAGGAGCUACCUGCUUCAGGUCUACUGAGAGCUGUUCUGCCACUCAAUAAAGCUCUUCUCCAUCUUGCUAAGCCUCCAUUUGUCCGCAAUACCUCAUCUCCCUGGACGCAGGACAAGAACUCAGGACCCGCCUGGAGGUACUAAAAGAGCUUUAACACAAACAGGGCUGAAACACGCUCCCUUGCUUGCCACAUUGCGGGUGACGAGAAGGAGAAAAGAGCUGUGUUCCUUUGAGGAUCCCAGACCUAGGGUCUCCCUGAGCCAGGGCUGUGACACUCCCUUUGGGGUUCUAUGGUUCCUGGCAUCUUCAAGCUUCCAGGCGCCACCACCUUCGUUCCCUUCAUCCAAACAGGUGCCCACAGCAGAAUCCACAUGCCGUCCAUCUGGUCCAGCCUCACGCAGAGCCACAACUGUGCUGGCGCCUGGAGCUGCCAGCCCCACUGCAGCAGCCGGACUGACAUUCAGACGUGGAGCAAGUUGGACUGCAUAGGGACCCACCAGUGAGAUGGACGCUGUCUGUAAACGGUUCUCCAGGGAGGCUGCUCUGCCAAGUCUGGUAUUUCAUGAAUAGAUCUGAAAACAGACAUUAUCUCUUCUCCCAGUGAAGAGAGAGCGAUGAAGCCUCAGGACAAAAGGAGGCAGUGGGAUGAUGCCACCAAGGGACCAUUCUGAAGAGCCAUCAGCAAAAAGCAGCCACACCUGCUUAUGUGGCUCUGGGACAAAUGAUCUGAGCCGUGACGUGGAACUUAGAUGCAGUAAAGUCCAUUGUAUUGAGCCUUCUCUGGCACUCCUCCCAAAACAGAGAGACAACAGUUCUGUUAUGUUUUGUUUGGUUUGGUCUCCCUCAACUCAUCAAUGAGCCUUUUUAAAAAGAAUAAUUCGGUACUUUCUUUAAAGGUGGUAGAAUUGGCUCUUACUCUAGUCUGUUUUCUCCUUCCUAAGGGAGGAGCAUCCUUCUUGUUAACACAGAACCCCAAACUAUCUGAUCAGAAAGAAAAUAAUUCAAUCUGCUGUUUGAAUUGACUUCCAGCAGCGUCUUAAAUUUUAAUUGGCCCCCGGCCUAAAACAACCUCAAACUGUAUGUCUUCCAUACUCCUCUCACCACCACCAUCACCACUGCCCCUACAACCACUCUAAGCAUAGUACAUAUGGUGAACAUACCAUGAUAUUGAAUGCUAUUCUCACUCUGCCUUCUCUUAAUCUGAUCUUACUCAGGUUCUGACAGUUGACGCUGAAAACAUUUUUUGUUGUUGUUGUGGUUGAGACAGAGUUUCGCACUUGUUGCCCAGGCUGGAGUACAGUGGUGCGAUCUCGGCUCACUGCAACCUCCGCCUCCCGGGUUCAAGUGAUUCUCCUGCCUCAGCUCCCCAAGUAGCUGGGAUUACAGGCAUGUGCCACCAUGCCUGACUAAGUUUGUAUUUUUAGUAGAGACGGGGUUUCUCCAUGUUGGUCAGGCUGAUCUCGAACUCCCGACCUCAGGUGAUCCGCCUGCCUCGGCCUCCCAAAGUGCUGGGAUUACUGGUGUGAGCCACCAUGCCCGGCCAUGACACUGAAAACAUUUUAAAGGAGAAACAGAUUACCAAUUAUCCAUAAAGAUGAGAAUUAUCUGGCAACAUUUUGGUUAGAUGAAAACUGUGACUAGAGAGCUAACAAAAACAAACACAAUGAGCACUAGAUAUCUGCCAGGCAUUGUUCACAGCCCCUUUUUUGGUCUCAUCUGAUCCUUGCUGUAGAUCAGGAAUCAACAAACUAAGCUUUCACCACUUGUCAGGGGUAAAGCCAUGUCAGUCUGAGUCCCAAUGCCACACUGUUAGCCACUCUCCCACACCACCUGCUCCAACUAUUUGAAGAAGGAGAAUGUUUUUCCAGUUAAUAAAGUUAAUAGUUAAAAACUGAAGGAUGCUCUUUGUUUUUUAACUUUUAUUAUUAACCAAAACUUGAAAAUAUAUAUCCUCCCCCAGUGAUACCUCUAUUUAGAAUAUUAGAAUGGAUAUUUGGUACUUAGCCUUCUAUUUUCCUGGAUGAGUAAUAUUUUGAGGCCUGUGCAGUUGUUUAAGAUACAGAUCAUUCUGUCUCAUACCAAGAGGGAGUUUCCAUGCUCUUCUGUGUUGGGCUGGCCUUGUAAGUUUAUUUUAAUAUGGUAUUAGCAUCCAUCGUCACCACUAAUUGCUGUUUACUAAGGAAUCACACAGUGCCUGCCGUGUACAUCAGAAACACACUUGACUGAGCUUACUCUUCACUAGGAAGCAGGAGGCAAAAAUAUGAAUUAGCUUCUUUUUAUGCAUGUGAAGAUGCUUGUCUGUCUUUACUACUUCCCAGGAAUACUGCCAGUGAGGAAUGCUCUGGAAUUCUAAUCUAUUAGUACUGAAUAACAUAAUAAAACUGACAUGAAUACAAAUGACAAGGUGUAGUUUACACAUCCUGGUAUUAAUCUCAAGAGCCUGAGCACUCACAUGAA